GACGAACGCUGGCGGCGUGCUUAACACAUGCAAGUCGAACGGAAAGGCCCUGCUUUUGUGGGGUGCUCGAGUGGCGAACGGGUGAGUAACACGUGAGUAACCUGCCCUUGACUUUGGGAUAACUUCAGGAAACUGGGGCUAAUACCGGAUAGGAGCUCCUGCUGCAUGGUGGGGGUUGGAAAGUUUCGGCGGUUGGGGAUGGACUCGCGGCUUAUCAGCUUGUUGGUGGGGUAGUGGCUUACCAAGGCUUUGACGGGUAGCCGGCCUGAGAGGGUGACCGGCCACAUUGGGACGGAGAUACGGCCCGGACUCCUACGGGAGGCAGCAGUGGGGAAUAUGGCACAAUGGGCGGAAGCCUGAUGCAGCAACGCCGCGUGCGGGAUGACGGCCUUCGGGUUGUAAACCGCUUUCGCCUGUGACGAAGCGUGAGUGACGGUAAUGGGUAAAGAAGCACCGGCUAACUACGUG
rnacentral:rRNA from 1 species